rnacentral:rRNA from 1 species
UACGGAGGGUGCGAGCGUUGUCCGGAAUCAUUGGGCGUAAAGAGCGUGUAGGCGGCCCGGUAAGUCCGCUGUGAAAGUCGGGGGCUCAACCCUCGAAUGCCGGUGGAUACUGUCGGGCUAGAGUGCGGAAGAGGCGAGUGGAAUUCCUGGUGUAGCGGUGAAAUGCGCAGAUAUCAGGAGGAACACCGAUUGCGAAGGCAGCUCGCUGGGACGUUACUGACGCUGAGACGCGAAAGCGUGGGGAGCAAACAGG